rnacentral:rRNA from 1 species
UUCAUGGAGAGUUUGAUCCUGGCUCAGGACGAACGCUGGCGGCGUGCCUAAUACAUGCAAGUCGAGCGGACCGACGGGAGCUUGCUCCCUUGGGUCAGCGGCGGACGGGUGAGUAACACGUGGGUAACCUGCCUGUAAGACUGGGAUAACUCCGGGAAACCGGGGCUAAUACCGGAUGCUUGAUUGAACCGCAUGGUUCAAUCAUAAAAGGUGGCUUUUAGCUACCACUUGCAGAUGGACCCGCGGCGCAUUAGCUAGUUGGUGAGGUAACGGCUCACCAAGGCGACGAUGCGUA